GAAAUGCGAUAAGUAGUGUGAAUUGCAGAAUUCAGUGAAUCAUCGAAUCUUUGAACGCACAUUGCGCCCCUUGGUAUUCCAUGGGGCAUGCCUGUUCGAGCGUCAUUUGUACCCUCAAGCUCUGCUUGGUGUUGGGUGUUAGUCCCGUCUCCGCGCGUGGACUCGCCCCAAAGUGAUUGGCAGCCGGCGUACUGGUCCCGGAGCGCAGCACAUGUCGCGCAAACGAGUGCCUUGGUACGGCGGCGUCCAUAAGCCCCUCUCUCACGCUCUUGACCUCGGAUCAGGUAGGGAUACCCGCUGAACUUAAGC
rnacentral:misc_RNA from 1 species